rnacentral:pre_miRNA from 1 species
UGCCCUGCCUGUUUUCUCCUUUGUGAUUUUAUGAGAACAAAGGAGGAAAUAGGCAGGCCAG